rnacentral:lncRNA from 1 species
AAGUAACAUCGGGGCACCCAAUAAUACCUCAUCAUUGACAAAUAGGGGCAUAGGACUGAGAUGACGUAGUAGUUUGGUUAUAGGAUGUAAAGUUUUUGCCUCCUAGGUCACCAGUUAGAAUCCAGCCCAAACUGAUACUCAUCAGAUAUUAUUGCCAUCAGGUGGCUACUCAUUGACCUGUGCAAAAUGCAUUUGUGAUAUCAGUCCAGUUCAGCUGGGAUAGGAGUUCAAACCAUGAAAGACAUUGGGUCUGACUCUCUGUUGUCCUGCACCCUGUGUGUAAUUGUUUAUACCAGCUGAGAGUAACUUGCAACCACACAACACCUCAUUAAUUUUGUAGCCUUCUUUGCACUGGUGUAAGUGACUGCACAAGAUGCAGGGCCACAGAAAGUCCAGCCCAGUGACACAAUUGUCUUCUUGUUGACAAUCUUCAAACAGAUGUCAAGGAUUAACUGAACCCCACAGACCCUACUCUUGUCUCCCUUGGAGGGAUGCUGGUCCUUUCAGGUAUGUUUGCCAUGAAGGAAAUUCUGCUUCCUGCCCUUCCGAUGGGAUUCGUGGUUACAAAUGCCCCAGUGGCUUCUACUGUCCCACUGGUACCAGACUGGAGAUACCGUGUGAGCCAGGCACUUUUAGCCCUAUGCCUGGAGCAAGCACCUGCCUCCCUUGCCCGGUUGGUAUGACCUGCAGGCAUGCUGCCACUGUGGAGCCAGUCAGCUGCCCCAGAGGUUACUAUUGUCCAGCUCGGACUGCAAUGCCUCUGCCAUGCCCUGAAGGUACCAUGAACACCCAGGAGGGGGCACUGUCCCCAGCUGCAUGCAAACUGUGUCCAGUGGGGAGGUACUGCAGGGGGGAUGCUAACUGGGAACCAGAUGGUAAGUUGUCCUGGUAGAUCCAGGGCCACCAGGCACUGGAAGUCC